CGCCAACCGUUGGGGUGCCCUGUGUGGGGCUGAGAGGCGCGGGUGCGUCAACCCAUCGAACCUGAUCCGGGCAAUACCGGCGUAGGGAACGGUCUAUCGCUAUCG
rnacentral:ncRNA from 2 species